GACGAACGCUGGCGGCGUGCUUAACACAUGCAAGUCGAACGGAAAGGCCUCUUUCGGGGGGUACUCGAGUGGCGAACGGGUGAGUAACACGUGAGUAACCUGCCCUUGACUUUGGGAUAACUUCAGGAAACUGGGGCUAAUACCGGAUAGGAGCUCCUGCUGCAUGGUGGGGGGUGGAAAGAUUCGGCGGUUGGGGCUGGACUCGCGGCUUAUCAGGUUGUUGGGGGGGAAGUGGCUUACCAAGGCGUUGCCGGGUAGCCGGCCUGGGGGGGUGACCGGCCACCUUGGGUCUGAGAUACGGCCCAGACUCCUACGGGAGGCAGCAGUGGGGAAUAUUGCACAAUGGGUGGGAGCCUGAUGCAGCAACGCCGUGGGCGGGAUGACGGCCUUCGGGUUGUAAACCGCUUUCGCUCAUGACGAAGCUUUGUGUGACGGUAGUGGGUAAAGAAGCACCGGCUAACUACGUG
rnacentral:rRNA from 1 species